rnacentral:tRNA from 1 species
CAGGUAUUAGUUUAAUUAAAAAUAUUAAUUUUGGAGAUUAAUGAUGAGCAAAUUUCUUAUACUUGA